GCGUUACAGGUAUGCACAGGAUCUCUAGAUCACACAAUUAUCGUAUUUAUUCUGUUCAAUAUUUCAUAGAUGUUUGUACGCCAACUUCUUGGGCGCUUUCAAAGUGGGCAGGUUGUCAGUCAUUUGAGGCGUUUUAGUAGUCAAAACUCAACAGCCAUGGUUGUCAAAGUGAACGUAAUUUAUUGUGGUGGAUGAGGGUACAGGCCCAAGUAUCAGCGACUGAAAGCUGAUCUUGAGGAGGAGUUUGGCUCCGACGUUGAGAUGACCGGUGUAUCAACUCCAGAAGUCACUGGAUAUCUGGAGGUUGAGGUCAAUGGAAGUCUUGUUCAUUCUAAAAAGAAUGGAGACGGCUAUAUUGAUAAUCAACAGAAACUGAACAAGAUCAUUGAGGCCGUCAAGGCAGCUCUUUGAUUCUUGACAACAUUCAGCAACACAGCUAAACAGCUCCGCAUUGGACAUUGUGGCUAUCCCUAUCAUGACAGAAACACCCCAAAAGUAGUUCCGGCUAUUCGGGUAUUUCUCGAGACUCUACAGGGAGACACCAGGCUGUCCAAGAUGGAAGGAUUUGACUGUGUCAAUUAUUAUUUUCUUUGAUGUGGUAUUGUGCAGUGUAGACUAGAAUUAAUAUGGUGUAAUUGGUAGCAUGUUAAAAGGGAGUUUAUUUUAAGAAAAAAAACAUUAUUCUUUAACAUUGGGUUACUUAUAAAGAAAAAGGCCCCAUGAUGUUAUGCAAGUUUCUUAUUUUGCUUUCUCCAUUUUCAUUAUUUACAACCACAGAAAGUUACUGCACAGGAUGGAAAUACUUUAAAGCAAAAAACACAAGAACCUGACUUGGGGGUAAUUAAAGUGCAGUUGUUUGAUCUUGGUGAUACUCAUGAUACCAUAUUCAUGUAUGUUUCAUAUGCCUCAGACCCUUUUGAGAUAUAUAAUUGAAGUAAUAUGGUACCUGACCCUUAAAGGGGAAUCCAGCCUUGGCCAUAAAAUAUUGUGUUGGGAAGGAGAAAAAUAAAUUAAACAGAAUGGUGAAAGUUUGAAAGAAAGUAAUAAGAAAGUUAUAGCUGCUUUAAAAUUGAGAUCACUAAUACUAUGUAGAUUUCAAAUUGGCAACUGGGUAAGUAAAUUAUGACAAGGGGCAAGGACAACUUUCCCAUAGGCCAUGUACUUUAUUAUCAGGGAUUUGUGGUUUUCUCCUAAGUACCCAUUCCCCUGGGGCAGUAAUCUAAAUAUAACCCAGGUAGUAUAUUGUUUUAUGUCCUCAUGAAACAAAAAUAUAAUUUGAAAUAAAACUUUUGGGAAAAAUGACAUUUUAGCCAUAAUAUGUAUUGGAGUACAUGGAAGGGUAGUCCUUGCCUUACAUCACUAUGACAUCCCAUAUGCGGCCAAUUUGAAGUCUCCAUGGGUAUAGUGAUUACCAAUAUUUACAACUUUUAAAAAUUCAUAACUUUUUUGUUGUUUGUCCAAUAUUGUUCAAACUUUCACCUCUCAACUUGUCUGAUUUUUCUUUUCCUUAUAAAAACAAGUUUUUAUUUGGGUUGGAUUCCCCUUUAACUUUAGGGGAAUACAGAAAAUCAAUAAUUGAUUUUAUGAGGUCUUCAUGUUACGACUAUAUUCCUCACCAAGCAGAGUGAUGAUACAUAAAAAUAAAACUAAAGAUAACAUGAAAAUAGACUAUGCACCAAGACUGAAAAUAUGAUUAACCUUUUUUUUUUACAAUUGACAUUUGGAAUGUGCUUUGAAUUUCAGAAAAAAAAAUUAUAAUUGCAACUCUCAAACCUUCCUAUGGUUAGCUAAUCUGAGGUGGGACUGGCCUGGCAUCAAUGGCUUGCUGAUGAUUCUGUCAGAGGCAUUUUAUAUAAAUCCACAUAUUCCAUGGUAUGUACUGAUAUCAUGUGUACAUUACAUGUAAUGCAUGAAUAAUGAUUUUUUUGCAAAUGAAAUAUUUUGUUCAAAUUAACAUUUAUAUUAACUUUAAUAGAUUAGUUGAUUAACAUGUAUACACAGAACUCUAUUACCAGAUUCAUGUAUCCCAAUGAAAAGCAACUGUGUUUAGCAUGGGCUGAAGCAACUUUAGACGAUUUCAGUUCAAACACACCAAAGUACCAGAUUUAUUCAGAUACUUAAUAUUUCAUGCCAAAGAUAUUUCCGCAAUGAACAUGUUUUGUCUGUCAAUUUAUUCUGACAGGUAUCCUAAGCUUGUCAAUGAACAAUUAUCAUUUUAGAAUGUGUAUUAUAUUGGCAGAUUCAUUUCCAAUCUUGAUGAUCUUGAUUUUCUUCAGAACCAUAUAACAUGUCAUGGUGUUGGGAUUUGUUUAAUGAAGUGCCUAUUUUCACUUUUCUUGUUUUCUUUUCUUUUUUCUUGAAGCUGAUUAAAAUAGUUUUAUCAUUCUCAUCAAGAA